CUUUCCGCUCAAAAACCCGCUCUUUGCUGCUGAAUUGGAGCUUACGUCAAUCCACAGAAAAUCCAAUUGAUGUUUGCUCCAAUUCAGUGGUAAAGAGCGGGUUUUCCCUGGGGGAAAG